ensembl:lncRNA
UGAGGCCACGAGGCCCCGAGGCUGUGGCGGUCCCGCUGGUUUAGUCCUCCUGGGCCCCUCGGGCAGGGCAAGGGAGUGUCCCCGGUAUCGGGUCCGCGUCUGCCUCCUCUGCCGCGGGCUCCCCCCAUCCCCGCUGAACUGCUGUUCUUUUGUUUUGAGACUGGGUCUCGCUUUGUAGCCCAGACUGGCCUGGAACUCGGGGCGAUCCUCCUCCCUCAGCCUCCGCAGUGCUGGGAUGACACUCGGUUGGAGCUGACAGUUGAAGCAGCCUGACCGCCACCGCAGUCAGAGGAGCAGUGUCCCCAUGCCGCGGGGCGGAGGUCCUGCAGCGCCUCCCUCUGCCUCGCACUCCCUCCGUUACUCUCGGCUGGUUCUUUGGCUUCGGUUUUAUCAUUUGUCCUUUGAGUUACAGGGCCGGUUUCGGGGUUGGGAGAGACCCUCUGGGCCACUCUUUAGGUGACUCCACAGACCUGCCACUUGAACACACCCGUGUCACGAGCGACUGGAGCAACGCCUGGGACAAAGGGGAGCAAGCGAGGGGUCAAUGGAGCCACGCAGGGUCGCGGGGCUGAGGCAGGAGGCUGCCACCAGCUCUUCUGCUUGAAAACACCCCGGGGUGGGGCUGCCGGCUCUUCUCCCAUCGCUUUCAUCGCUGCGCCUUGAGCUGGGGCCACCGCGGCACUGCUGGCUUGGACAGUGUCCCCAAGCACUCUUGCGUGGGAAAGUCAACCUCCAGAUGAUAGAUUCACCGGUGGCCUUUGGAGGCGAGAGUGCUGGGAGGAGAGAGGGUCAGACAAGGUCCACAUGACAUCCGUGUCUUUCUGGGAAGAGGAGAGGAGACCCCAGAGACACUGCGACCCAGUCGGACCUCAUAGAAGCUGAGCAGUGCUGGUGCAGAGCUCUCGGACUUCCUGGCCUCCAGAACUUUGAGAUAGGACAUGUGCUUUAUAAAUGACCCAGCCUCGGGUGCUUUGUAAUAGCAACAGGAAGUGGACUAAGACAAAGCAAAAGUAAACCAGGUGUUGGGAAAUAGGAGAGGAGAACUGGAGAAAACUGACCCGUCUGGUGAGCUUGACACUGCAUGCAUGAGACGGGAUCACCAGUGGGGCUGAGGAGAGGACCCUCCAGGGUGUUUCUGCAAUAAUCCAGGUGCGAAUGGUGCUGCUUGGACAGGCAGUGGCGGCAGCACAGAGACAAGAGGCAAAUCCUGGGCAGGUUUUGAAGGCGCCUCAAAGGAACUGCCUGAGGGACUGGACGUGUGGACGUGUGGGGUGGAGAAAGAGGAGCUGCCGGUGACGCCACAGUUACUGGAGGACUAAAGCUGUCGAGGAGUAGGCCUGGGGAGGUCACCCCAUUUCUGCAGAGGACACAGCACCACUCUGUCGCAUGGAAGGCUGGGAAUGACGGUGUCUUUGGCAUCUGGCAGCACUGGAGCAUGGGGCAGCAUCCAGGGAGGCCCCCUGACCUGCUGGAAGGAGCCCCAUUUCCACUUCCCCAGCGCCCUCCAGAGGUUGGAAAGAGCAGCGGCACUCGUCCUCAAGGGCAGUUCUCUGUGGAACGGCGGGGAGGUCGGUCUGGGGAGGGAGGCCCUGUGUGAGGUAGAUGACAGGGACACAAAGGGAAUUCCAGCAGGGACCGUCAGAAGCCGCCUCAUACGCAUCUUCGGCCGCGUGAACGGAGGGACACUCGCGUGACGGUGCACAUGGGAAAACGUGCACUCACGUGUAUUUGUUUAUUGGAGCCGGGGCUCAAAGCACAGGGAUCGAACUCCGGUCCUUGUGCUUAUGAGGCAGGCGACAGAACCACUGAGCUAAAUCCCUGGCCCUGAACAAUAAACUUUUACUAGAACAUCUAUGUGUGUUCAUGGUAGAACUCACAGAUAGGAAAAAGAGAAAGUCGAC